rnacentral:lncRNA from 1 species
CUAAACAAGAAGACGUUAAACUGGAUACUUUGUCAGAAUUGGUAAAAUAAAAGAAACAAUAGACACGACUUCCUCCGCCUCAUGGUUAGACUUAUUCUUCCUAUUUAACAUUUACGGUCAUAUCAAGAACUAUGACAAACAAGACGAUUUUAACUUUGAAAUUAUCCAUUUCCCCCACCUUUGUAGCGAUAUACCAAAUUCACCUGCAUAUGGGAUAUACAUUUCACAACUUAUUCUAUAUACAGAUUUUUUUUUUAUAAUUCUUUAUUUUGUAUUUCUUCAUCUCAUACAAUAUCUAUAUGCAUUUUUGUCUAUAAAG